rnacentral:rRNA from 1 species
UACAGAGGGUGCAAGCGUUGCUCGGAUUUACUGGGCGUAAAGCGUACGCAGACGGCAUCAAAGGUCGGGUGUGAAAGCCCGGGGCUCAACCCCGGAAUUGCAUCCGAAACCGUGAAGCUAGAGUAUGGGAGAGGGAAGCGGAAUUCCUGGUGUAGAGGUGAAAUUCGUAGAUAUCAGGAGGAACAUCUGUGGCGAAGGCGGCUUCCUGGCCCAUUACUGACGUUCAGGUACGAAAGCGUGGGUAGCAAACAGG